rnacentral:misc_RNA from 1 species
GAUGAAGAACGUAGCGAAAUGCGAUACGUAAUGUGAAUUGCAGAAUUCAGUGAAUCAUCGAAUCUUUGAACGCAUAUUGCGCUCUCUGGUAUUCCGGAGAGCAUGCUUGUUUGAGUAUCAGUAAACACCUCAACUCCCUUUCUUCUUGAAAUGGAGCUGGACUUGAGUGAUCCCAACGCUUUAUUCAUAAAGUGGCGGGUUACUUGAAAUGCAGGUGCAGCUGGACUUUUCUCUGAGCUAUAAGCAUAUCUAUUUAGUCUGCCUCAAAACAGAUUAUUACCUUUGCUGCAGCUAACAUAAAGGAGAUUAGUUCUUGUGCUGACUGAUGCAGGAUUCACAAAGACCGCUUCGGCUGUCUUUGUAAACUCGAUCUCAAAUCAAGUAAGACUACCCGCUGAACUUAAGCAUAUCAAUAAGCGGA